ACUCCCUGGCAGUGGACAAAGAGACACCUUGGUGGUGGUAGCGUUCUUAGUCAAGGGCGGGGCAGAUGGCAGUCCUUUGCUCAUUCUAGCUUGAUGCCUGUCUUAGAGGCCAAAGCUUUUUCAUGCCUAGGGCACAUGA